rnacentral:sRNA from 1 species
CAACUUGCAUUUGAACAAUCAUGAUUUGUCCCCCGAGGCGUGCAGCGAGUGUGGCCAUAUGAAGUGCCCAUGGUGCAUUGUCGAAGAUUAAUCCACGCGCAGAAAUCCAAAUUUAUGUCCGUAUUCACAGGAUUUAUCACAACGGUCUGCUGCUCCGUUAACAUGGGCUUCUCGUUUGGAGUUUUGAGUUGGUAGAGGGCAUAGCAUGGGAGUUAACAAAAGUAUUCCGUUCACAACACAAACGUCGAUGUUCUCCUUCCAGAUCUCUCCUUGAUCAAGUAUCCCAGUAUUUUGAGUUCUGCUCUCUUUUGUCACACUAGUUAAUAUCUUUCCUUUCGUAUUUUCGAUUUCGUCUGCAGCUGAGAUUUAAUUUACCGAUGUUUCUGUUGUGCUACUUUCGUUCUCUUUUAAAUUUCGUUUCUCUCCAUACGUUUUCUGAUUUUAUUCUAUAUCAUUAGUCUACUUUGCUUAGCAUGUUGCUUUUUCUGCCCUUUUAUUCAUCAACCUUGUUCUCUGCUUUCCGUUACCCACCAAAUGACUUUAUAGAUGAUCCCCUUUACUUUGCUUCCUGUUUUAUACCACA